rnacentral:rRNA from 1 species
CCUACGGGAGGCAGCAGUGGGGAAUAUUGGGCAAUGGGCGCAAGCCUGACCCAGCAACGCCGCGUGAAGGAAGAAGGCUUUCGGGUUGUAAACUUCUUUUCUCAGGGACGAAGCAAGUGACGGUACCUGAGGAAUAAGCCACGGCUAACUACGUGCCACCAGCCGCGGUAAUACGUAGGUGGCAAGCGUUAUCCGGAUUUACUGGGUGUAAAGGGCGUGUAGGCGGGAGAGCAAGUCAGAUGUGAAAACUAUGGGCUCAACCUGUGGCCUGCAUUUGAAACUGUGUUUCUUGAGUGCUGGAGAGGCAGGCGGAAUUCCGGGUGUAGCGGUGAAAUGCGUAGAUAUUAGGAGGAACACCAGUGGCGAAGGCGGUCUGCUGGACAGCAACUGACGCUGAGGCGCGAAAGCGUGGGGAGCAAACAGGAUUAGAUACCCUUGUAGUC